rnacentral:rRNA from 1 species
UACGUAGGGGGCGAGCGUUGUUCGGAAUUAUUGGGCGUAAAGGGUGCGUAGGCGGUUCUGUAAGUGUGUCUGUCAAGCUCGGGGCUUACCCUCGAGAAUCGGACGCAAACUGCAGAACUAGAGUCCGCGAGGGGUUGGUGGAAUUCUUGGUGUAGCAGUGAGAUGUAUAGAUAUCAAGAGGAACACCGGUGGCGAAGGCGACUAACUGGCGCUGGACUGACGCUGAAGCACGAAAGCUAGGGGAGCAAACAGG